UACGUAGGGGGCAAGCGUUGUCCGGAUUUAUUGGGCGUAAAGAGCGUGUAGGCGGCUUGGUAGGUCCGCUGUGAAAACUCGAGGCUCAACCUCGAGAUGUCGGCGGAAACCACUUGGCUAGAGUCCGGAAGAGGAGAGUGGAAUUCCUGGUGUAGCGGUGAAAUGCGCAGAUAUCAGGAAGAGACCACUAUGGCGAAGGCAGCUCUCUGGGACGGUACUGACGCUGAGACGCGAAAGCGUGGGGAACGAACAGG
rnacentral:rRNA from 1 species